rnacentral:hammerhead_ribozyme from 1 species
AUUCAGUUGAUGAGUCUCAAAUAAAACGAAACGCGCGUCCUGGAU